rnacentral:lncRNA from 1 species
GUUUGGCGUGUGUUAGCCGAGCUACGGAUGCUCUGAUUCUUCUUAGUCCAAGAAGAUACGUAUGCAUAGGAUGCGACAUCCUAGCGAGCAUGUGUUUCCCCCAGUCCGAACUACUUUGACUCUGAUGUCUAUGUAGUGUGUUAGCCGAGCUACGGAUGCUCUGAUUCUUCUUAGUCCAAGAAGAUACGUAUGCAUAGGAUGCGACAUCCUAGCGAGC